rnacentral:lncRNA from 1 species
CUGGCAGGGAGACUCGUCUUCCCUCCUUCUGCCAGGAACGGAGAGUCAACUGCAAGCUCUGGAGUGAUGGGAAGGGACAACGGAGCUGGUGGCGGCGGACCCUCGUUACAUCCAGAUGUGUGGGGGGGUUAUUCAUAUUCAUACAGUAAUACAAAGACCCCCGUAUCUACUUCGAACCAAAGAUUCGGACUCAGAACUGGAGCCCGAAGCCUCGGACAUGGACUUGAGACUCGAAUCCCAGGACUUCCCACAAUCUCCCUGUCAUUUCCACCACAGAUGCUGCAGGGUGAUGCUAUCUCCUGCUUCAACUGCACCAGCAUAGAAGGUUAUAACUGCAGCACAUCCCAACAAAAAUGCACCGCCUCCGUCAACAGCUGCAUCACCAUUGCUCAGAAUGAGACUACAGGUGCUCUGGACAUACAACACCCAAUUUAUGAGAAAAAAAUGCAACUCCGAUGACCGCCUCUGCAACCAAUUUUAUGGGCUGGUGGCGGGAGAUUUCCAUAUGCUAUGGAACUCCAGCUGCUGUUGAGCUGAUCGCUGCAACACCCAGGAAGUCAUUGGUAUAGAAGUCCAGUUCCUUUCUGUACAACAAGCUGUGUUGGGCUUUGUCAUGCGGUUUGCUUAAUCGUUCUGCCAGACACACCUUACAGUAGGGGACCAGUAAAAUCAGAGUCCUUCUACACCAGUGGUUCUCAACCUCAGGUCUCCAGAUGUUCUUGGACUAAAACUCCCAGAAGCCUUCACCACGAGCAGUGCUGGCCAGGAUUUGUGGGAGUUGUUGUCCAAGAACAUCUGGGGACCCAAGGUUGGGAACCACUGUUCUACACUGUUGAAACUCUGUACCUCCUAGUGCUGGUGGAAUAAAACACUCAUUAUCCUUGAUGAUUGAAAAAGG